AUUGAACGCUGGCGGCAUGCCUUACACAUGCAAGUCGAACGGUAACAGGUCUUCGGAUGCUGACGAGUGGCGAACGGGUGAGUAAUACAUCGGAACGUGCCCGAUCGUGGGGGAUAACGGAGCGAAAGCUUUGCUAAUACCGCAUACGAUCUACGGAUGAAAGCAGGGGACCGCAAGGCCUUGCGCGGACGGAGCGGCCGAUGGCAGAUUAGGUAGUUGGUGGGAUAAAAGCUUACCAAGCCGACGAUCUGUAGCUGGUCUGAGAGGACGACCAGCCACACUGGGACUGAGACACGGCCCAGACUCCUACGGGAGGCAGCAGUGGGGAAUUUUGGACAAUGGGCGAAAGCCUGAUCCAGCCAUGCCGCGUGCAGGAAGAAGGCCUCGGUUGUAAACUGCUUAGUCUAGGAAAAGGGUAGCGAGGUUAAUACCUCGUGCUUGAUGGUACUGGAAGAAUAAGACACCGGCUAACUACGUGCCAGCAGCCGCGGU
rnacentral:rRNA from 1 species